rnacentral:rRNA from 1 species
GCUCGGUACGUCAUACCACCGAAACCAUAAAAGUUUGAUCCUGGCUGAUCUCUCGUAACAAUGUAACCAUAUCGGAUGGUCCUGUGUCGGGGGUCGUAAUAGGUGGCAACGAUCUUGAUCCCGGCGGAGAGGAUGAUCAGCCACACCGGGACUGAGACACGGCCCGGACUCCUACGGGAGGCAGCAGUGGGGAAUAUUGGACAAUGGGGGCAACCCUGAUCCAGCCAUGCCGCGUGUGUGAAGAAGGCCUUUUGGUUGUAAAGCACUUUAAGCAGUGAAGAAGACUCCAUGGUUAAUACCCAUGGACGAUGACAUUAGCUGCAGAAUAAGCACCGGCUAACUCUGUGCCAGCAGCCGCGGUAAUACAGAGGGUGCAAGCGUUAAUCGGAAUUACUGGGCGUAAAGCGAGCGUAGGUGGCUUGAUAAGUCAGAUGUGAAAUCCCCGGGCUUUAACCUGGGAACUGCAUCUGAUACUGUUAGGCUAGAAUAGGUGAGAGGAAGGUAGAAUUCCAGGUGUAGCGGUGAAAUGCGUAGAGAUCUGNGAGGANANUACCNGANUGGCNGAAGGCAGCCUUCUGGCAUCAUAUUNGACACUGAGGUUCGAAAGCGUGGGUAGCAAACAGNGAUUAGAUACCCUGGUAGUNCCACGCCGUAAANCGAUGUNCUACUAGUCGUUGGGNUCCCUUNGAGGACUUAGUNGACGCAGCUAACGCAAUNAAGUAGACCGCCNUGGGGNAGUACGGCCNGCNAAGGUUAAAACUNCAAAUGAAUUNGACGGGGGNCCCNGCACAANGCGGUGGAGCAUGUGGUUUAAUUCGAUGCAACGCGAAGAACCUUACCUGGUCUUGACAUAUCUAGAAUCCUGCAGAGAUGCGGGAGUGCCUUCGGGAAUUAGAAUACAGGUGCUGCAUGGCUGUCGUCAGCUCGUGUCGUGAGAUGUUGGGUUAAGUCCCGCAACGAGCGCAACCCUUGUCCUUAGUUACCAGCGGGUUAAGCCGGGAACUCUAAGGAUACUGCCAGUGACAAACUGGAGGAAGGCGGGGACGACGUCAAGUCAUCAUGGCCCUUACGACCAGGGCUACACACGUGCUACAAUGGUAGGUACAGAGGGCAGCUACACAGCGAUGUGAUGCGAAUCUCAAAAAGCCUAUCGUAGUCCAGAUUGGAGUCUGCAACUCGACUCCAUGAAGUAGGAAUCGCUAGUAAUCGCGGAUCAGAAUGCCGCGGUGAAUACGUUCCCGGGCCUUGUACACACCGCCCCGUCACACCAUGGGAGU